UUGCUCAUGCAGCACAUAUGAUAAAUUGGAAUGGAUACAGAGAAGAUUAGCAUGGCCCCUGCGAAAGGAUGACACGCAAAUUCGUGAAGCGUUUCCACAUUUU
rnacentral:snRNA from 1 species